UACGUAGGGUGCAAGCGUUAAUCGGAAUUACUGGGCGUAAAGCGUGCGCAGGCGGUUUUGUAAGUCUGUCGUGAAAGCCCCGGGCUCAACCUGGGAAUUGCGAUGGAGACUGCAAGGCUUGAAUCUGGCAGAGGGGGUAGAAUUCCACGUGUAGCAGUGAAAUGCGUAGAGAUGUGGAGGAACACCGAUGGCGAAGGCAGCCCCCUGGGUCAAGAUUGACGCUCAUGCACGAAAGCGUGGGGAGCAACAGG
rnacentral:rRNA from 1 species